GAUGAACGCUGGCGGCGUGCUUAACACGUGCCAGUCGAACGGAAAGGCCCAAGCUUGCUUGGGUACUCGAGUGGCGAACGGGUGAGUAACACGUGGGUGAUCUGCCCUGCACUUCGGGAUAAGCCUGGGAAACUGGGUCUAAUACCGGAUAGGACGAUGGUUUGGAUGCCAUUGUGGAAAGUUUUUUCGGUGUGGGAUGAGCUCGCGGCCUAUCAGCUUGUUGGUGGGGUAAUGGCCUACCAAGGCGUCGACGGGUAGCCGGCCUGAGAGGGUGUACGGCCACAUUGGGACUGAGAUACGGCCCAGACUCCUACGGGAGGCAGCAGUGGGGAAUAUUGCACAAUGGGCGCAAGCCUGAUGCAGCGACGCCGCGUGGGGGAUGACGGCCUUCGGGUUGUAAACUCCUUUCGCUAGGGACGAAGCGUUUUUGUGACGGUACCUGGAGAAGAAGCACCGGCUAACUACGUG
rnacentral:rRNA from 1 species